CAAUCACAAAACUAAUGUUCAUGUAAUAGUAUACAUGGGUUCUAGAUUAUGGUUUUUAACCUGUUUUGAUACACCUGUGUCAAUUUUGUUGAAAUAUUCACAGAAUUAAAACUUAGAACUUAAAGCGUUAAGACUAGGGUGACAGGUAGUAGUGAUAAUAAUCAUUUGACCUUCAGAGUUUUGUGGGCAGACUUGAUAACCUCACCAGUUCCAGCAGCCUUUCUUUUUACAGCCUUCCUGUUGACUCCCACAGCAACUGUCUUAUAUCAUGAAAAACAAAACCACCCAGAAGAGGAUAGUCAGAGAAGCUCUCAACAGACAUGGGUUUGCCAGGCCCCUCCCCUUAUAAACAAUGCUAGUAUCACCAGAUUUCAAGAAAUUGGGGCCAUCCUGUAGAUUCUAACCAGAUGGUGAUCAGAAGCAGUGUAAACCAUCUAGACAGGGACAUAACUAUCGCUCAUUUGUGUUGAUUCAAGAUAAUCAGCUGAUCAGUAAAGCUAACUGCUUCCAUUGGUGGGUCGUUUUUUUGCUGUCACCAUCAACAUUGCCAUGACUGACAUCUUGAUAGACAAGUUCUUAACUUUGAAGCCUAUGUUGUUCAUAGGAAGAGCUUCACUCAAAGCUUCACUGUGCAUUUCUACUGACUUUACUUCAGUUAUGGUGUUAAAUGGAGCAGAGGGGACCAGCAUGCCAGAUUUGAAAACAGUUUUAAACCUUCAUUUGCAUACACACACACACAC
rnacentral:lncRNA from 1 species